rnacentral:tRNA from 1 species
GGCGAAGUAGCUCAGUUGGCAGAGCAGAGGACUUGUCGUGGGUUCAAGUCCCACCUUCGCCA